UACGGAGGGGGCUAGCGUUGUUCGGAAUUACUGGGCGUAAAGCGCGCGUAGGCGGACCUGCAAGUCGGGGGUGAAAGCCCGAGGCUCAACCUCGGAACUGCCUUCGAUACUGCGGGUCUCGAGUCCGGGAGAGGUGAGUGGAAUUCCUAGUGUAGAGGUGAAAUGCGCAGAUAUCAGGAAGAACACCCGUGGCGAAGGCGGCUCUCUGGGACGGUACUGACGCUGAGACGCGAAAGCGUGGGGAGCGAACAGG
rnacentral:rRNA from 1 species